rnacentral:rRNA from 1 species
CCGCAGCAGCCGCGGUAAUUCCUACGGGAGGCAGCAGUGGGGAAUUUUGGACAAUGGGCGCAAGCCUGAUCCAGCAAUGCCGCGUGAGUGAAGAAGGCCUUCGGGUUGUAAAGCUCUUUCAGUCGAGAAGAAAAGGCUGCAGCGAAUAACUGCGGUUUAUGACGGUAUCGACAGAAGAAGCACCGGCUAACUACGUGCCAGCAGCCGCGGUAAU